AUUUUGUCAAAAAAUUAUUUGUCAAGAUGGCGGUCAAAAUUUCUGGUGCAUUAAAGAGGAUUUUUUCAUUUUGUUUCAAAGAGAGAAGCCCGGCUAGCUCAAAAUACUGGCAAGACAUUCCAUUCACUAAUCAAAAUGAGUACAUCAAGUUAGCUAGCGUGCAACUGACGCCUACAUUACGGCUCCUCUCGUUUCGAGUUUCCAAAAACUAUCUGUAUUUCAGCUUUGCGAGACCAGACACAGAUCUUUUGGAAUACACUGAGCUUUGUGGUGAAGAUGAUUUAUAGCCAAUCUAAAAUAAAUUAAAAGAAAUGAAAGAAAUAUACCAACAUAUUCUUUACAAAAAGCUACUAGUCUAAACUUGGAAUAUGGAAUACUUCACUUUUGCAGAACAUUAUACCGCUUUAGAGCCAUUAAGAUAUAAGGAGCUAAUACUUUCAAAGGUGCCAAUUAGAUGUCUUUUGUUUUUGUGAGCGUUAAUUGUCGUGCUAGUACUGUCGUCACGAGAAGUGUUUUGUAAUGCAAAUGUAAUAUUGUCCCGUGUUAGUAACAAUAAGUAUAUUAUGUCGUUUUACAAUGCAAUAUUUGGGGAAUGUUGAGUUUUAUUUUUUCAAACGAGCUCCGUUGAAGCAGGGCGCAUUUGCAUAAGCACUUUUGCGCUCGUAUGUACUUUUAGACCGG